GUAGGUGGCAAGCGUUGUCCGGAAUUAUUGGGCGUAAAGCGCGCGCAGGCGGUCCCUUAAGUCUGAUGUGAAAGCCCACGGCUCAACCGUGGAGGGUCAUUGGAAACUGGGGGACUUGAGUACAGAAGAGGAAAGCGGAAUUCCAAGUGUAGCGGUGAAAAGCGUAGAGAUUUGGAGGAACACCAGUGGCGAAGGCGGCUUUCUGGUCUGUAACUGACGCUGAGGCGCGAAAGCGUGGGGAGCAAACAGGAUUAGAUACCCUGGUAGUCCACGCCGUAAACGAUGAGUGCUAAGUGUUAGGGGGUUUCCCGCCCCCCUUAGUGCUGCAGCUAACGCAUUAAGCACUCCGCCUGGGGGAGUACGGCCGCAAGGCUG
rnacentral:rRNA from 1 species